UGGCGGCGUGCCUAACACAUGCAAGUCGAACGAGAAAGUGGAGCAAUCCAUGAGUAAAGUGGCGACCGGGUGAGUAACACGUGACUAACCUACCCUCGAGUGUGGAAUAACAUCGGGAAACCGAUGCUAAUACCGCAUAAUAUCGCGAGAUCAAAGCAGCAAUGCGCUUGAGGAGGGGGUCGCGGCUGAUUAGCUAGUUGGCGGGGUAACGGCCCACCAAGGCGAAGAUCGGUAGCCGGCCUGAGAGGGCGCACGGCCACACUGGAACUGAAACACGGUCCAGACUCCUACGGGAGGCAGCAGUGGGGAAUUUUGCGCAAUGGGGGAAACCCUGACGCAGCAACGCCGCGUGGAGGAUGAAGCCCCUUGGGGCGUAAACUCCUUUCGACCAAGACGAUAAUGACGGUACUGGUGGAAGAAGCACCGGCUAACUCUGUGCCAGCAGCCGCGGUAAUACAGAGGGUGCAAGCGUUGUUCGGAAUUAUUGGGCGUAAAGGGCGCGUAGGCGGCGCGACAAG
rnacentral:rRNA from 1 species